rnacentral:rRNA from 1 species
UGGGGAAUUGUUCGCAAUGGGCGCAAGCCUGACGACGCAACGCCGCGUGGAGGAUGAAGGUCUUCGGAUUGUAAACUCCUGUUGAUCGGGACGAAAAGCUCCAACCCAAUACGUUGGAGACUGACGGUACCGGUUGAGGAAGCCACGGCUAACUCUGUGCCAGCAGCCGCGGUAAUACAGAGGUGGCAAGCGUUGUUCGGAAUUACUGGGCGUAAAGGGCGCGUAGGCGGCCUUCUAAGUCGGACGUGAAAGCCCCAGGCUUAACCUGGGAACUGCGUCUGAUACUGGGAGGCUUGGAUUCGGGAGAGGGAUGUGGAAUUCCAGGUGUAGCGGUGAAAUGCGUAGAUAUCUGGAGGAACACCGGUGGCGAAGGCGGCAUCCUGGACCGAGAUCGACGCUGAGGCGCGAAAGCUAGGGGAGCAAACGGG